UCAGCUUGGUCACCUCUUGGCGCCGGAGGCCCGCCGUGCCAGUGUCCUUCGCCUCCUACCCCUGGGACAUUCGUGUCCAGAGAAAACCCAGCGUCCCGGAGACAGGACGCCCCACCCUCAGAGGCUGGGCUGCACGGAAUUCUGUGACCCGAGUUCGCAGAAUCAAUGGGAGGUGGUGAGUGUAUCAAAUGCCCUGCAGACUGAAGAGGAUGGUAGCACGAUGCAGACAGCCUUGCUCUGUGUUCCGGCUUGGCUGAAAUGACGAAAUACAGGCAACCUUCUUCAUCCUGGAGUAGUUUCUUUGCAAUAGGGUAGAAAAAGCAAUCUGGCCAGAGCGUCUGUUGGUGGGAACGAUGGAAAGGCACAGAUUCCAGAAGGCCAUGUGCCUCUAGCCACAAGUCUCAGACAAGAUGCUUCCAAAUACCACUGAAUGUGCAGCCUCUGCCUUUGGACUUCACCAGGAGCCUGGAAACCUUCUAAGAAAAGAGUGGAGAAUCUGAUCACUUUUUCCAAAGCAAAACUUGCAAUGCAUGCCAGAGUACAUACGUACUGAAUACAGGAACCAGCCUUUCAAAGUUCAGUGCUUCUAGGGUGGGCUCGAGCAUGACUUCCCCAAAGAUGUUCACCCCCUGUGUUAAGUAGAAAACUUCCUUUUUAAAGUUUCCUUUCUUGUUAAAUCCUGAGUGUGUUAAUAACUUUGUUAAGCCCUAUCCUAUGUAGCUGUUAGACAUGCCAUGCUUAUGGGCACGUAGUACACUAUGUCCUUGUAGUUUAACCAAAGUAUCUGUGCUGGACAUGCUCACAGGCAUGUCCCAGCUCUCCAUUGCUUUUACCUGUUUAGAAAAGUUUUAAGUUGUUAGCCAAUCAGGUUUUAGUUUAGAUUGUGAGGUCUGGCUCCAGCCAACGGAGAUUAGACACAGAAAUAAGGAUGACCCUAAAUGCGUAAGGGAUAAAUUUGUGUGUUUCCCUUUGUUCUUUGUACUCUCACGGCAAGAUGGCUGAGAGUGCCCUUCCUGCAGUCCAGUAAGUAAAAAUUGUGUUGCUGAAA